GUGAUCAUUUUGGCAGCACAUAUACUAAAGUUGGAACGAUACAGAGAAGAUUAGCAUGGCCCCUGCACAGGGAUGACGUACACAUUCAUGAAGCAGUCCAUUAAAAA